rnacentral:rRNA from 1 species
GAUGAACGCUGGCGGCGUGCCUAAUACAUGCAAGUCGAGCGAACGGACGAGAAGCUUGCUUCUCUGAUGUUAGCGGCGGACGGGUGAGUAACACGUGGAUAACCUACCUAUAAGACUGGGAUAACUUCGGGAAACCGGAGCUAAUACCGGAUAAUAUUUUGAACCGCAGGGUUCAAAAGUGAAAGACGGUCUUGCUGUCACUUAUAGAUGGAUCCGCGCUGCAUUAGCUAGUUGGUAAGGUAACGGCUUACCAAGGCAACGAUGCAUAGCCGACCUGAGAGGGUGAUCGGCCACACUGGAACUGAGACACGGUCCAGACUCCUACGGGAGGCAGCAGUAGGGAAUCUUCCGCAAUGGGCGCAAGCCUGACGGAGCAACGCCGCGUGAGUGAUGAAGGUCUUCGGAUCGUAAAACUCUGUUAUUAGGGAAGAAAAUAUGUGUAAGUAACUGUGCACAUCUUGACGGUACCUAAUCAGAAAGCCACGGCUAACUACGUG